AGAAGCUGGAAGUAAGCCUAUGCUCUAAUUAACUCUGCUCUGGGAGGCGAGGCUCUCACGAGAGAGAGGAGAGAGAUGGGGGUGGGGGGUGGAGAGGAUUGGGAGCACUUCAGAGAAAAGAUCUGAGAGAAAAGCCUGGGACUCUGCCACCCAGCUCCCUGGCCCCUGGGAGAAGCCAUGGCAGAUAUUUGGGAUGAGGCAGCAUGCUGGUCCCUCAGCAGCAUCCUUAUCACGUCAGCUGUGAGAGAAAUAAAACUGUGAGACUGUGAAGUGUAUAAAGGAUUCUACCGCUCUCCCGGGGCUUGGAGACCCACAGAUUGGAGAAAGGGACCUCUGAGGGUCUAUUUGAGGGCAUGAAUAUGGAAAAUUCAGCUCCAGCUCCUCCACCCCACUCCCUGAACAGCACUGCAGAACUGUGCUAAGCUCCUGUGGCUUGGAAAGAACAGAUGCAAGAGACAUAGGAAUGAAGAAAUAGAUGGUGUCACCUCCUUUAAUUUCCUAGAAAGAGAAAACAAGGCACUGAUGCAGCCCGCGAUGAGCAGGAAUGGGAACCUGCAAUCUCCUGGAAUCUGCAACACAUUGCUGCUCUAUCAGAAGAAGAAAUGCAAGGAAGAAGUCAGAUAAGAUGCUCUAACAAUCCUUGGGUCACUGGAUUCCUCCUAGAACCUCCCUUCCUUCUGGAAAGCCAUCAAAAGUAAAGGCACUGGCCCUAUAGGACCACAGGGUCACUUAAGGAACAUUACAGAGCAAUGAUUCUUGACCUUCUCAGCUUCAAACUCCCUUCUAGAAAUUGCACCCCCUUCCCCACCUCACACUAUUUGUUCCAAAGGCUUUUAUCUACCAAAGUUGAUGGGGGGGCUCUAAGAACAGCUUGAGAUUUACUGGUCAUACCCCAGAGUCCCUGUGCUGACAUCGACAUCUUUCCCAUCCACACAAAUUAUCCGUCGUUAACACAUGGACGUGCUAUAUUUCUAACCAAAUCAAAGAACUUGUACCGAUCUUUUCUGCAGCCUUAUUCUGAGUAAAUAUGUGAUUUCCAUUAGGCUUUUUGAAAUAUGUAAAAUAUAUAGACUCCCAUUACCACCUUCAGGACCUCUAGGUGUUUGGGGACCUUUACUAGGAAUUCACUCCUAUGCCCAAAAUGAGUUUGAAGAUGAAAAUUAUAGCUAGGCGGGGAAAGAACUGUUGGUGUAACAAGAUAUUUAAAAGCAAAAAUUUUUCCCCACCUGGGUAGGUCAGGGCCUAGCAUUGGAGAAAGGGAUGUUUUCAAAAUGAGAGUAACUGCUAAAGCAAAAUGUGUAAAACUGAGACAUUGGGCAAAGAAGGGAAAAGAAGGGAAGGGUGUUGGCUUAUAAGAGAAGACAAUUCUGCUGUGUUAAACUGUUUCCCCUGAAACAACAUUUCCACUCAGCUGGGAAAUUUUCUGGGCUCCUGAAACUUCAUUAGGUUUCUGGCAAUUACCCCAAGGAGACCCCCUAAAAGGUAGGCAAUAGUUACACAACUGACAUGCAUUGUGUGACAGAAAUAAAGGAAGCUGCACAUGCUUUUAUUCAUUAACGUAUUUUUUCCACAGUGCCAUAAGGAAGGAAAUUGUAAAUUUGUAAUCAGGCAGAUCUCUAAGUUUUCCAAGAAUGGCUGUUCUCUUCCCAACUAGGGUUAAAAGACAAUUUGUUGCACUCUGGGCAAAUCCCGACUUGGUUCCUGUCUUACUUAAGGUUUCAGAAAUAGUCAUAAAUCUUUUAAAAUAUUUAUUAUUAAUUCAUUUUGGGGCAGCUUUUAUGAUUCUAAAACUUCAGGAUCUGUUUGAAUGUUUCCUGAGUCUCAAGUUUCAUGGAGAAAGGCUGACAGGGAACCAAAUUCCACCAGUGGUUUGGUGGUGUGUGAGCAGGCCAUCAGCCAGAACAUUCUAACAUGUCUACAAAGGGCGUGAUUUGGGGUCGUCUCUGCCGAGAAAUUCUAUGGACUAGGGGGAAACACUUUCUUCUUUCCCCCAGUACUAUUUGGACUAGUUUCUAAAAAUGGACAGAAACACCCUGUCAGCCUUGUGAGAAAUCCAAUCAUCUUGUUAAUAAACAGAAAAGGGUACUAUCAACAUGACUUAUUUUCCACUAACUAGUUAAUGCAAGUAAGACAAGCUAAUAGGCAAAAUUCAGAUUUCAUUUCAUCUAUUGCUUCACCCCACACCAAAUGUAAAUGUAAAAGUCUCCUGAAUUGGGUGUGUUAUAAUCUCGGUCCACUGACAGAUUAUCUAGAAGCAGACUCACAUUUCCCCCAAAAAAGAACCCUGUAAAAAUAGCCAUUGCUCUGUGUAGAUAUCAAAUCUGUGCCUCCUGCAGGGAGUGCAGUGGAUGCAGAAACCCAAAUCCACCUUCAGGAGAGGCAGCCUGGAGGAGUAGCAUGAAGCAAGGAAAGAAGAGUUGGUGGAUGGGUUCUCAAAAAAUCUUCCUUACAGCCAAGUCUGUGAGGUCAGGGGAUAGUCUCCCAAGGGAAGUGGUGGGAGCCCCACAGUUAGAGGCAUUUAGAAGGGGCCUUGAUGGAAAAAUGGAAAUGUAACCCUAGGUUAAAAACUGUGCCCUGAAAAGGGAUAAGGGAGACAAGCUUAAAGAGAUUCUUUCAGCUCUAAUUUCUAAGAAU
rnacentral:lncRNA from 1 species